GGCCCGGCCGGCCCACCCGCCCCCGGGGACCGCCGGCUCUGCCAGGCGCUGGGAUCCCGACGUCGGGAUCCCGACGCCGGUGCCUUGGGGGCCGGCGAGUCGGGGUGCGGCUGCCCGGGGGGGCCUGGCUCCCGGCUCCGAGCUCGCCUGCAUCUUCCCGGGGCCGAUCUUGUUCUCAACGGCUCUGGGUGUCGGCGACCCUUCUAGCCAGCCCACUCCUCUCGCCAUGAGAUUCAGGGUGUCGGAGGGCCAGACACUGGUUUCAGCCUUGUAUAUUUUUCUAGAUCAUUAUUGGCAUGCAAACAGCUGGGAUAGUCUAUGA
rnacentral:lncRNA from 1 species